AGCUUUUAAUCUUUUACAUCUGCCUUAAAUUCAACUGUUCCAAUACUUAUGCUCACAUCAAAUAGUGGGAUGAACUCUAAAAGUGCUGUCCUUUUUAUUUAGUAAAACAUGUAUGUGUCGAAAGACCUAAUAAUAAAAUGUGACAUUCUNGAAACGUCACUCUUCCGUGUUAUGCGGAUACUCAGAGCGGUGUCAGUGAUGUGACGUGGCUACAUUAUGAACAAAAAGCUCUGCACUACACUGCAGUAGGAGCCACAAUCCCAGGCCUGGGCUAUGAGGAAAGAGUAUCGCUGACAGAGGACGGAUACAGAGACGGUGAUGUGUCUCUGACCAUCACUGGUGUCCAUCAGACAGACGCAGGAUUAUACCGCUGCUUCGUUCGAGAUGAGACGGACAGAGGAUACCCACACGCCUACAUGCUGCAUGUUAUCGAGAAGCUCACCAGUGCAGGAGGAGACCAGACUGAGAGCACCAGCAAAGAAAAACGAACUCGCCUUGGACUGAUCUCAUCUUUCUCACUCUUCAUUUGCUUUCUUCUUCUUCUUUUCUGCUGUAAGAAGAAGGCAUCACCCACAGUGGAAACUACAGAUAGUGAGCCCGUACAGGAGAGUGACCAAAACCAUUCAACUCGUCCUUUUUAUUCUGGAGAAGAGACCUAUAUGAACUGUCAAACCUGAGAUUGAACAAUAACAGGCAUUCUAAUAAUGAAACUGCUGACACCAUUUAAACACGUGAACAUGUGUCAUUCAUGUAACUGGCAGCUGCCUUCUGAUGCAGAAGUAAAAAAUAUGAAAACUGUAAUCUUGGGAGCACAGAAAGUUUUGAACACUGUAAUGUUUAUUGUGUGAGUUCAGUUGUGUGCUGAGUGUACACAUGUUCCCUGUGGAUGGAGAGAGAUGCAAGACUUUUAAUAUUCUCAUACUUCUCAUUUAUUUACACAAAUUUAUAUUUUUAUUUCGAAAUGAUCAAAAUUGUAGUUCAUGAGAAUAACAAAUAAACAAAAGUAUGUAUAUGAUGAUUAAUAAAAG
ensembl:lncRNA